rnacentral:rRNA from 1 species
CGCGGUAUACGUAGGGUGCGAGCGUAUCCCGGAAUACUGGGCGUAAGAGCUCGUAUGGCGGUUUGUCGCGUCGUCUGUGAAAUUCUGCAACUCAAUUGCAGGCGUGCAGGCGAUACGGGCAGACUUGAGUACUACAGGGGAGACUAGAAUUCCUGGUGUAGCGGUGAAAUGCGCAGAUAUCAGGAGGAACACCGGUGGCGAAGGCGGGUCUCUGGGUAGUAACUGACGCUGAGGAGCGAAAGCGUGGGUAGCGAACAGGAUUAGAUACCCUGGUAGUCCACGCCGUAAACGGUGGGUACUAGGUGUGGGUUCCUUUUCACGGGAUCCGUGCCGUAGCUAACGCAUUAAGUACCCCGCCUGGGGAGUACGGCCGCAAGGCUAAAACUCAAAGGAAUUGACGGGGGCCCGCACAAGCGGCGGAGCAUGUGGAUUAAUUCGAUGCAACGCGAAGAACCUUACCUGGGUUUGACAUACACCAGACGCGGCUAGAGAUAGUCGUUCCCUUGUGGUUGGUGUACAGGUGGUGCAUGGCGGUCGUCAGCUCGUGUCGUGAGAUGUUGGGUUAAGUCCCGCAACGAGCGCAACCCUUGUCCUGUAUUGCCAGCGGGUUAUGCCGGGGACUAGCAGGAGACUGCCGGGGUCAACUCGGAGGAAGGUGGGGAUGACGUCAAGUCAUCAUGCCCCUUAUGUCCAGGGCUUCACACAUGCUACAAUGGCCGGUACAGAGGGCUGCGAUACCGUGAGGUGGAGCGAAUCCCUUAAAGCCAGUCUCAUUUCGGAUUGGGGUCUGCAACUCGACCCCAUGAAGUAGGAGUCGCUAGUAAUCGCAGAUCAUCAACGCGCGGUGAAUACGUUCUUUUUACCUUGACACUCCACCUUUUUACACAUCCCCUUAGGUAUUUACAGUUUCAGCGGUGUAUUUAAAGUGGACCAAGUGACGUAGAUCAAAG